AAAUCCUUCCCCCAAUAAUGAGACGACACUUCACUUUGAGGGCUAAAACAGGAACUCCCUGUACUGUCACAUACAGUCUCUUUUAUUCCCAAUCCACAAACAUAGUACAGCCCACAGGGUGUUACAAAACAACCAAUCAAUCCGUACAAUACACCCAGACACUCCCACACAAACUCCUCCCCUCUGCCUGUGAUAUGAUUACUGAACACAAUGGGUAAUCUCAUUAUCACCGGCAGAGGAAUACAGUUUUCACACAAUAUUUAUAACUUCUAAAAUAUACAUG